GUGCUGGCAAGCAAAACCCAGCCCGGGAGAGGGAACGGGGGGGGAGACUGGGGGGGGGAGCAGAGAGAGAGACUUUCCCCCAUCCACCCCCACCCCUUUUUUAUUUUUUUAUUUUUUUUCUCCGAGGCUGCACUUUGGAAGAGGUGCAGUCAUUCUUACCCACACCCCCUACCCUCUCUCCACUCCCCCAACUAUAAAUUCCCUUCUGUAGCAUGCUGCCCUUUUGUAAUCCACAUUUGUGUUUCAGAUCAUGUAGAAAGGACAGAAAGUGAGCAGGGAGCGGGGGCUUUUGUCUGUUUAUCAACCAGGUUCAAUGACUUGGGUAAAGCAGAAGAUCUUUCCAACCAGCCGUGGGGAUGGGGGAUUUCCAAAGGGAAAUCCCCCUAUCUCAAAGGAAGUGAAUCGCAAGAAAAGUGAGGUGGAGGGGACAUCCCUGGCUCCAGCAAGUGGCCAUGGACAACAUUUCACCAAAAUCAAUUACCUCUACUCUUUUUAAACAUUAUUUCUCCAUUCAUAUUACAUAUGGUGUAUGGGUUUGAUGAGGUCAUGGUGUCAUAUAUUGGAAAUUGUUUCUGUGUAAAUCAUCAAGUGUAAGAAGAAACUACGGGACUCUGAGCCUUGCUUUAGAGAAUAACAAUGGACAAACAUGUACCAUAAAAAAUAGUUUUUAACAUUCUAACUCAAGCGAAAGCUCUCAGAAUUUCACACUGUGAAUCCAUGUUUACAAACAUUACAGGUGGGCCCUCAGGCCUGGUUCUACCACAGCAAUGUCUUUCACUACUCAAACUCCACAGCUCACACACAACCGGUAAACCACUCUCUCCAUUUCCAACAACCCAAACUGCUUCUUGCAGAGGCUGAGAGUCCCCCUUUUUUUUCAUUUAGAUGUAACAAGCCUAGUAGUUUAUUUUCAUUGAUGGUCUGUAUAUCUCUAUAUUUUAUCCAUGUACUCUUUUGAUGUAUAGAAGUAGUAUGAAACUCAUGGUUUCCUUGUGGUAAGUGAUCGUGAUGCUGCCACGGGAUUUGAGACACUGAUGAAUGGUGCUAUUUUGGACUUUAAAUAUGCUCCUUGGCAAGGUAGCUCUGAUGGAGUUAUUUUUUAUUUCCAUGUUCUGAGAGGGUGUUGGUACUUUGUUUUUCUGAAUGUUGUUCUUUAGACUGGACUGACUUGUUUACUUGUGUCUUCAGUGUGGCUUUCUUAUUCAGUGCUGUAGGUGAGUAACUACUUAUAGUGUACAAGUGAGGAACUGAUUCCCUAUCAGUGUCCACUCACAAACAUGCAGUUAUAGUGGGAGCAAUCACAAAACUGUAAUUUUCGUAAAAUCUCCUUUCUGACUCCUAUCCACCUUAUGGAGAAAGAUGAGCAAUAAUUUUCCACCAACUUCUCAAAAUCUCUUGAUUUUUGUCUUUUUUUCUUACAAGCCUUUUUUAAAGAAGGGACAAGUUUUAAUGUCCUCUUCAAAUCCAUAAACUAGGGGAUAUAGUAAGAAAAAUACAGCAAAUUUCUGGGAAGAGAAGUCCUAAAGGGGAAAGAGUACAUUUCCACAAUACUGUCAACAUGUGGACUUUACAUUUUUGUUCUUGCUCCCAAUCUACUAUAAAUACAAAAUAACACAAACCACAAAACUAAGCAGUAUCAUCUACUCAUGGAGUGUUGUUGUGUUAGACACAGUCUGAAAGCCCACCUUAAUUUUUUAUAUAAUUCUGUCUUUUAGCUAUUCCUUUUACAGGGCAGGCCUUGUUCUGAACUGUCUUAGCUUCUGACUGUUAAAAACCAAUGCAUGCACUGCACUUCUAGAUUUCUUUCCUUUCCCUACCUUCUGUGUCCCUUUCCUUGUACACUUUCUUUUCCAAUAGAAUAGAUAUGUCUGCUGUGCUGUAUAUAGAGCAAGAAGUAAUAUUCAACAGUUGUGGCAUUUAUGUAUAGGUGCAGCUGUGUACUGCUGAAAAUGCAGGCUUUUGUAACAAUGUGAUCUUUAAUAAUGCAAGUACCCAAUGUAUUUUAGCUAUUUUAGUAGGUUUUGUUCAAUAAAUAUGCAAGCUCUAAGGGUGGCUGUGACGUG
ensembl:lncRNA